AGUGAACGCUGGCGGUAGGCCUAACACAUGCAAGUCGAACGGCAGCACAGUAAGAGCUUGCUCUUACGGGUGGCGAGUGGCGGACGGGUGAGGAAUACAUCGGAAUCUACUUUUUCGUGGGGGAUAACGUAGGGAAACUUACGCUAAUACCGCAUACGAUCUACGGGUGAAAGCAGGGGAUCUUCGGACCUUGCGCGAUUGAAUGAGCCGAUGUCGGAUUAGCUAGUUGGCGGGGUAAAGGCCCACCAAGGCGACGAUCCGUAGCUGGUCUGAGAGGAUGAUCAGCCACACUGGAACUGAGACACGGUCCAGACUCCUACGGGAGGCAGCAGUGGGGAAUAUUGGACAAUGGGCGGAAGCCUGAUCCAGCCAUACCGCGUGGGUGAAGAAGGCCUUCGGGUUGUAAAGCCCUUUUGUUGGGAAAGAAAAGCAGCAGGUUAAUACCCCGCUGUUCUGACGGUACCCAAAGAAUAAGCACCGGCUAACUUCGUG
rnacentral:rRNA from 1 species